UCCACCAUGACAAAUACCCAUGACAAUCCUGGAACUCCACCACCAGUCUCACCUAACACCACCUCACCUUCUACACCACCUGUUGAAAACACAAAACCAAGAUUUCGUCGCCAAAAAAUGCUAACAAGAAAAAUUGUAGCUAUUGGUUCCCUAAGGAAGACUUUGAAGGAAAAACUACAGUCUAGUCAAAAGAAAGAAGUCUCAGCAACGGAGAUCAACUCUAGCUCUGACUCUGAUAACUAC
rnacentral:lncRNA from 1 species